AGUGAACGCUGGCGGUAGGCCUAACACAUGCAAGUCGAACGGCAGCACAGUAAGAGCUUGCUCUUACGGGUGGCGAGUGGCGGACGGGUGAGGAAUACAUCGGAAUCUACUUUUUCGUGGGGGAUAACGUAGGGAAACUUACGCUAAUACCGCAUACGACCUACGGGUGAAAGCAGGGGAUCUUCGGACCUUGCGCGAUUGAAUGAGCCGAUGUCGGAUUAGCUAGUUGGCGGGGUAAAGGCCCACCAAGGCGACGAUCCGUAGCUGGUCUGAGAGGAUGAUCAGCCACACUGGAACUGAGACACGGUCCAGACUCCUACGGGAGGCAGCAGUGGGGAAUAUUGGACAAAGGGCGCAAGCCUGAUCCAGCCAUACCGCGUGGGUGAAGAAGGCCUUCGGGUUGUAAAGCCCUUUUGUUGGGAAAGAAAUCCAGCCGGCUAAUACCUGGUUGGGAUGACGGUACCCAAAGAAUAAGCACCGGCUAACUUCGUG
rnacentral:rRNA from 1 species